rnacentral:lncRNA from 1 species
UAUAGCGCAGCCACAACACGUGGGUGAUAGACGCGAUUGGCGGGGGACAUGUACACACGCGGAUCACAAGCAGGAUACGCCGCCUGGAAGGACUCCUGGUUUGGACUAUAUCAUGGAUGUGAUCCUUUCAAGAUGCACCUCAAAGAAGAAAGCUGUGCGGUGGGAAUGAGGUGAUGUCAUGGCAAGCCCACCAGCAGCAGAUGGAUGAAGAUCCACCUGACAUCAGGACAGUUGGUGGCUGAUAUUCAUGGGGACUGGUCACAGUGGCUGGACCAUGCAGGUAACACGGGUACAGCUGCACUUACCCGGGUAAACAGAGUAACGUGAGUCAUCUGUGUCCUGGGUGGUCGUCCUGUUUGAUUGAUCAGAUGCAAACGUUCACCUUCUGAUGGAGCGCAGGUGCAGUGGUGAUUUGUUUUGAUCAGAGAUCCAUGACAAUGCAUAUCCCGGGAGCAUAUAAUUUUGUGAUAAAAGUACAUAAUUGUCUGAAGGCUGGACCUGACAUUAUUCCGGACAUUGUAACAACAUGACUCAAUGACAGAGUACAGAAAUGCUAUCCGAAUCUGCAGCUGCUACUUAACAUAUGCUAACAUUCCCCCCACACCAGGACACCUGGAUAGUUCUUGGAACAGGUACAUACCCAUCUCCCGGGACUCAUGGAUAGUUCUUGGAACAGGUACAUACCCAUCACCCAGGACACAUGGAUAGUUCUUGGAACAGGUACAUCCCCAUCACCCAGGACACAUGGAUAGUUCUUGGAACAGGUAAAUACCCAUCACCCAGGACACAUGGAUAGUUCUUGGAACAGGUACAUCCCCAUCACCCAGGACACAUGGAUAGUUCUUGGAACAGGCAUAUAUUCAUCAACCAGGACACCUGGAUAGUUCUUGGAAAAGGUACAUACCUAUCACCCAGGACACAUGGAUAGUUCUUGGAACAGGUACAUACCCAUCACCCAGGGCACCUGGAUAGUUCUUGGAACAGGUACAUACCCAUCCCACAGGAUCACUGGAUGGUUCUUGGAACAGGUACAUGCCAAUCACCCAGAACACUUGGAUGAAUACUGUAACAGGUACAUGCCCAUCACCCAUGACACCUGAGUGGAUACUGUAACAGGUACACACUCAAUAACAUGACAUUGAACCUUUAGCCAUUCACCAUGAAUGCGUUCGAUGGCCAAGCAUGGGUAUACAUCAAACAUUUCCAGCAAAGUUACUGAUGCAUAGUGAAUGUUCAGAUAUUUAUAGUCAUUUAUGACUGGGUUUAACUUCCAUGUUAAACGACAGUGUCUGACUGAUUCUGAUAUUGCAUAAUGUUUUCUAGUUGUUUCUAAUGAUUAAUAUUACUUUAUAGUCAAGGAAUGUCAAAAUAUAAGCUUUAGGAAGGGACCAGUGGCAUCCUCGGGGGAGGAGAGUUGAGCCAGUACUAUUUGUGAUUACUGAAUUAUGCUGAAAAUAUGUUGUUUAACUGAUAUUGCCGUGUUGGUGGGAACAUAAAUAACUUUGAUAUUUUACAAAGUAAGGGCGGAACACAAGAACAAGGCUGUUGUUUAUUUAGUCAAGAGGCCUAAAACAAUUUACUGCCGAUGUCAGAUCGGUUCUGCUUUGUCCUUCCUCCACCCUCUACUGUACACUUUGGCCGUGACCUUGAGAUUUCAACCUUGAACUUUUAAAACUUGCCAUGGUGUGAAUGACAAUCAUACAAUUAUAUUUAGUUAAACUAAAGUCGAGUCUGCUAUA